AUUUAAUUUAUGUUUAUGUCUUAUGGGCGAGCUUAUCGUUUAUUUAAGAAGAGUGGUACAAAGUAGAGAAGUUAUUUAAAUUCUUUUACUUGUAUCAUAUCAGAAUAUAUAUUUAUAUAAUAUGAUCAAAUUCAGUCGAUAUAAAUGAAAUUUUUUUACAGAAUAUUGAGAGAUAAGAUAAUCUAAACAAAUAGAUAAG
rnacentral:lncRNA from 1 species